AUUGUUCACUCUCCCUCAAGGGCUUCCGGCAGUGCCAGACAUAUGCGUGAAUGGCGGCUGGAGGUCCUCGGGGAGAGUGGACAAU
rnacentral:pre_miRNA from 1 species